CUACGGGCGGCAGCAGUCGAGAAUCUUCGGCAAUGGACGAAAGUCUGACCGAGCGACGCCGCGUGCGGGAUGAAGGCCUUCGGGUUGUAAACCGCUGUCAGAGGGAAGGAAAUUUUGACCGAUCCUCAAAGGAAGUACGGGCUAAGUUCAUGCCAGCAGCCGCGGUAAGACGAACCGUACGAACGUUAUUCGGAAUCGCUGGGCUUAAAGGGUGCGUAGGUGGUCUAUUAAGUUGGGUGUGAAAUCCCUCGGCUCAACCGAGGAACUGCGCUCAAUACUGGUAGACUUGAGGGAGAUAGAGGUGAGCGGAACUGAUGGUGGAGCGGUGAAAUGCGUUGAUAUCAUCGGGAACACCUGUGGCGAAAGCGGCUCACUGGAUCUCUUCUGACACUGAGGCACGAAAGCUAGGGGAGCGAACGGGAUUAGAUACCCUAGUAGUC
rnacentral:rRNA from 1 species